CACACAAAAUAAACAUCAUCAUCAUCAUCAACAUUUCAACAACCACAAAUCAGAACCCUAAUCUAAGCCUUCUUAGGAGAUUUCUUAGCCUUUGGAGACUUUGGCUCCUUACUAGCAGUAGUAGAUCUAUCAGUCUUCUUAGGCAAAAGAAUUGGGUUAAUAUUUGGAAGAACACCACCAUGAGCAAUUGUAACACCAGCAAGCAAUUUUCCAAGCUCUUCAUCAUUCCUCACAGCCAAUAACACAUGUCUAGGGAUUAUCCUAUUCUUCUUGUUAUCACGUGCAGCAUUUCCAGCCAAUUCAAGAACCUAAACAAACAAAUUAGGGUUUCAGAUUCAAAAUUAGGGUUCCAAAUUCAAAAUCAGUAAAUAAUAGUGAUUGAAUUGAAAAUUGAUUUAUAUACCUCAGCAGCAAGAUAUUCAAGAACAGCGGCUAAGUAAACCGGAGCUCCAGUACCAACACGCUGAGCAUAUCUACCUUUCUUCAAGUAACGACCGAUUCUUCCGACGGGGAAUUGAAGACCAGCUCUGGUGGAUCUGGUUACUGACUUCUUCCUUGGACCUCCGCCUUUUCUUCCUCCGGCACCUUUCUUGGUCUUUGUGCUUGCGUCCAUUUUCGAGCUUGGAAAUGAACCCUAGAUUUUUUGCUACGAAAUUGGUUUGAUGUUGGAAAUGGAAGAUUUUGAGUAGUGGUGACGUGAGUUGAAGAAUCGUUGGAAGAGUUAUUAUAUAGUAGUGUGUUUGUUAUGAGUUAUAUGACACCGUGGCGAUCCGCGUUGGAUGUUACGCUGGAGGUGAUUUUGAGCGUUUGAUUGUAUGUUUAUCGACGGCUCAGGAUUGUUUCUGUGGCGAUCCGAGUGAUUGGAAAUGGACCAAUCAAUGCGUUUAUUCCACGACACAAUCACUGUUUCAUUUUUGUGGUGUUUCCAUUUUAAAUUAAAAUAAGGAAAGUUAUUACUCACUUUAUCUCUAUUCUCUAGUGAAUCAAGGGUAAAUAAUCGAUCGUUUAAUUUAACAGAUUAAAAAAUCUAUGAGUAAAUAAAUGUGUGAAUAAGUCUUCAUUAGCAUAACUCACACAUAUGCUAGAAAUAUUGCAAUAUUAUAAAGAUAGUAUAGAACAAUAAGUCUUUUUUUUACGGUAAGAACAAUAAAUCUUUAAUAAUAGAGUAAGUGCUCAAUUUGAUUCUUGACUUUUGCAAAAUUAGUAAUUUAGUCCUCCAAAUUAAUGAAAUUUCAUGUUGUUUCUCAAUUUUCAAAAAGUUAAUAAAGAUAGUCCCUCCGUCAAUAUAAAUUAACUAACAGAGUCAAGGAUGGUCAUGCUGUUUGAGAACAAGAUUGAAAUAUAUUGUGACCACCUUUCUAAUGAUGUUGAAGAAAUUGUGUCUCUACCAUGUAGUCAAAAUAGUACAACUGCAAAUGGUGAUGGUGCAGUAGUUAAAUAUGAUGAAUUGGCUAAAGAUGAUGAAAGUACCGAAGUAUAUGAUUAAAUUAGUCCCCGACUUUUGUCACUUAUGGGUAAAUGAACCCUCAAAAUACAAAAGACAACUUCACGAUAAAACAUAUUGAGUAUGAUUCAUUCAUAAGCAGUGCGUCUACCAAUCCACAAGGCAACAAACAACAUCAUGAUGAAACGCAUAAACAUAAGACAAUAUUUUAAUUGUUUAUGCAUCAAUCUUCUCCAUAACCUUCAGUUCAACAUACACUCUACCGGAUGAUUUUGUUGUAAAAUUACAUUAUCCAUCUUCUUCGUAAGCUUCACCACAUCCACUCUGAUAGCUGAUUUUGAUCAUCAAAGACACCUUCAACCUCUUUCAUAAGCUUUGUCAUUACCUCAUUAUGUUUUUCCAUAACCUUGGAUUAUUUUUCUUCAAAAAAAACCUUGGAUUAUUGUUUAUGCGCUAGUAUUAUUUGAUCAACAUUUGUCAAUAGUUUACCAUCAACCUUCAAUGCUUGAAUGUUACGUCUGCCAAAAACAUAUCUAGAGCUUCAUCACACCAGAGAAAAUAGUCACACACAACAACCAUAUUUUGUUGCACAUAAUCAUCGAGAGAGGUAAAUAAUUGAGAAUUUGAAAACAAAAAUUAAAUUUUCAUAGUAAACCUACCUUCUAAGUUAGACAUGAAAAAAUUGUUUGAGAUGUCAAAGUUCACAUGUAAAGUUGUCUUAGGUAGUGUACAUACAUUAUAAGUAGAGUAAUGUUAUGGUACAUUAAUAUAAACUCUUUUUAUGUCACUAAUUUUGACACAAAUUAUUGGUGACUACUUCUCUACCCUCACAUAAAUUGAGGGCAUUUACCCUAUUUUUGAUGUGACAUGAUGUGACACCAAUGGAAUUUAUCCACAUGUAUCUAAGUCAAACAUAAAUAAUAUUUUACAACAAAGUAAUUUUGACUACUUUUAUUUUCAAUUAAUUAUAUUUUAGGUUACUAAUUUUCUUUAAUUGUAUUUUAGACUAUUUGGGUAAACGCAUCACUUUACCAUCAAAUUUCAUCACAACAAGGUUCAGCCACCAAAUUUUACAUGAUCAUCACUGCUUCUUUCUCCAUGCUUAUCAUCGGCAACCAAAUUCUUCAUUCGCCGUCGUCGCUUCUUCUCUUCUGCAAUUGUCGUCGCCGUCGCCAUUUCUCCUCUUCUGCAAUUGCUGCUUCUUCUUGCUCUUCCUUCAACCUUCAAACGCUCAUUCACCUCUUCCGGAAUCACUUCUCCAUCAUCUGCUACGUUUGUUCCAGAAUUGGAUUCGUCUAGGUAACAUUGAUUUUAAUUUUUAUUAUCUAUUUGUUCCAGAAUCGAAUCGGAAUCAAUUCGCUCAUUUUCAAUUUUUUAUUUAUGUGCAGAAGAAAGUUGUGUUUGAGACCGUAAAACAAUUUGAAGAAGAAGCAAACAAAUUAGAAGCAAUUAGGACCAAAAUGUAAAUUCAUAGAUUAUAAUAUCUAAAAUAUAAUUAAUUUAAAAAUAAAAGUAGUCAAAAUUAUUUUGUGAUAAAAAAUUAAUUAUAUUAGACUCAAAUACAUGUGGAUGAAUUUCAUUGAUGCCACAUCAGCAUAGGACAUAUGCCCUCAAUUUAUAAGAGGGUUAAUUAGAAAAAACCCAAAUUAUUAUAUACGAAUAUAGAAAUUUAUUUACGUAGAUAUAAACAUUAAUGUUCCGUUAACAAUGAACUGUUCGCGAUCGUGAUACUGAGUUCCGGAAACCUUUUCCGAUGGCAUUUCGGAGAGCAUUUUCUUCUUCCUCUCAAUUCCGCCAUCCCUCUUCCAGAAACUCCACCCUCUCUUGUCUUUCCGACCACCGCAAAUUCGAAGAGCUCAUUGAUGUCCUUUGUCANNNNNNNNNNNNNNNNNNNNNNNNNNNNNNNNNNNNNNNNNNNNNNGUUAUUUCCAAUCGUUUGCUUCAUAUGUAUUUCAAAUGUGGGAGUUUUAUUGAUGCCCAGAUGGUGUUUGAUGAAAUGCCUCAAAAGGAUUUGUGUUCUUGGAAUACAAUGAUAUCGGGUUAUGCUAAUCGCGGUCAGUUUGAAAAAGCUAGAAAACUGUUUGAUGAAAUGCCGCAAAGAGAUAAUUUUUCUUGGAAUGCUGUUAUAUCUGGUUAUGUUAGUCAUGGUCGACAUAGGGAAGCUCUGGAUUUGUUUAGAAUGAUGCAGGAGAAUGAGAGUUCGAAUUCUAACAUGUUUACGUUGUCCAGUGCCUUGGCUGCUGCUGCUGCUAUACCGAGUUUGCGUCUUGGGAAGGAAAUUCAUGGUUAUUUGAUAAGGACUGAGUUGGAGUUGGAUGAGGUGGUUUGGACUGCUCUUUUGGAUUUGUAUGGCAAGUGUGGGAGCUUAGAUGAGGCUAGGGGUAUUUUUGAUCAGAUGGCUAAUAGAGAUGUUGUUUCGUGGACUACCAUGAUUCAUAGAUGCUUUGAAGAUGGAAGAAAAAAAGAGGGAUUUUCUUUGUUCAGAGAUUUGAUGGGGUCAGGUGUUAGACCAAAUGAGUAUACAUUUGCUGGUGUUUUAAAUGCAUGUGCCGAUCUUGCUGCUGAACGUGUGGGAAAGGAGGUUCACGGAUACAUGACACGAGUAGGGUACGACCCAUGUUCGUUUGCUGCGAGUGCUCUUGUCCAUGUGUACUCAAAGUGUGGGAACACUGAAAUUGCUAGAAGGGUGUUCAACCAGAUGCCUCGCCCAGAUUUGGUGUCAUGGACUUCUCUAAUUGUUGGAUAUGCUCAGAAUGGUCAACCCGACAUGGCUCUUCAUUUCUUUGAACUACUACUUCGGUCGGGCACAAAGCCCGACGAAAUUACCUUUGUUGGAGUUCUUUCCGCGUGUACUCAUGCUGGAUUAGUGGAUAAAGGGUUGGAGUAUUUCCAUUCAGUGAAGGAGAAGCAUGGAUUGGUGCAUACUGCAGAUCAUUAUGCAUGUGUUAUUGAUUUAUUGGCACGAUCAGGACGAUUCAACGAGGCAGAAAAUAUUAUUGAUAACAUGCCCAUGAAGCCUGAUAAAUUCCUUUGGGCAUCCUUACUUGGAGGAUGCAGAAUACAUGGGAACAUUGAACUAGCCGAAAGAGCAGCAAAGGCAUUAUUUGAGAUAGAACCAGAGAAUCCAGCUACCUAUAUCACCCUGGCUAAUAUUUAUGCUAAUGCUGGUCUGUGGACUGAAGUUUCUAAGGUUAGGAAGGAUAUGGACAAUCGGGGAAUAGUAAAGAAGCCAGGUAAGAGCUGGGUUGAGAUUAAAAGACAAGUCCACGUGUUUUUAGUAGGAGAUACAUCUCACCCCAAAAUAAGUGAUAUACAUGAAUACUUAGGAGAACUCUCGAAGAAAAUGAAGGAAGAAGGCUAUGUUCCAGACACAAACUUUGUGCUACAUGAUGUGGAGGAGGAGCAGAAAGAGCAAAACAUUUUUUACCACAGUGAGAAGCUUGCUGUUGCCUUUGGAAUCAUUUCAACUCCACCAGGAACUCCAAUCAAGGUUUUUAAAAAUUUAAGAACUUGUGUAGACUGUCACACUGCCAUGAAAUAUAUAUCAAAGAUUGUUCAAAGAAAAAUAAUAGUGAGAGAUUCAAAUAGGUUUCACUGUUUUGAGGAUGGAAGUUGCUCGUGCAAAGACUAUUGGUAGUGGUAGUAGUAGUAGUACAAUACAUUAACAGCUUUGUGCAGCCUCAAAGUAAUGGAUCUACAAUGAUUGUUGUCGUGUGUUCUGUUUGGCGUGACGACAACAACGGUGACAACAAAUGAUGGUCACACCACUCGCUUCAUGGUGCUUCAGAGCUGGAAGAUGAGGUCUACGAUAUUGUUUUGCUCGUCAUCAUACACAACACCUUUGCUAAGGGUAAAAUUUUCAUCCCCUCUCGCAUGAGCCCUGAUUUUAUGGUCAUAGAUUUCGGAUUGGUUUGUCCCUUUUGUGAUUUGGUUUUUGUUGGCUUGGUCUCUACUCACAAAUCCAAUUUUUCAACAAAUUAAUAUUAGAUGAGUUAUUUCAUUGUACUCUCGGUUUUGAGUGACCCUAAUUUUGUUUUUAUGUGCACAUUUGUGGUGUUAUAUUAUUUUUAUAUCAGUUGUUUACAUCUGCUUGCCAUAUCAAUAAACACCCUAUGCAUAAUUUCAUGGAUAUCCCUAUAAGGCUGCCCACACUCUUUGCUUGCUCUUCCUUCAAACUUGUAUGCCUAGAACAUUGUAACUCUGUAUAGUUAUACUUCUGGUUGUUAAUCUGGUUUCAUUUAUAUAAAUAUGCACUCCCUUAAUUCCUUUUAUUUUAUUCUUCAAGCAUUGGUUAAACACUUGUUUCCUUUAUUCUCACCAUGAUCCAUUAUUCUCGCCUUUGCCUUUUUGAAGAGACAGAUAGAUAGAGAGACAUCUUCUAUGAAAUAGUAACAAAAAGUGAACACUCUAUUUGUGCAUGUGGCCACUGAAAUGUGAAAAGUAAUAGGGUGGCCGGGAGGGAGUUCACUAGUUUUUACUAGGUAGCACUAGCAGCAGUUGAUGUUUGUGUGUUACAAACUCCUAAUUGAAAUGCCAUUGAAUAUUGAGUCGAGUUACCUUUGUGCAAGGGAAAAAAUGAACCUUCAUUUGAUAACCGACCCCUCUGAGUCCACUUACCUUUUGGCUGUGCUUAUUUUUAUUUUUUUUUCAAAGUUAUGAUAGCUGAUCCCCCUGAUAUUCUUGUAGGAUGCAAUUGAAAUAAACUUCUUUUAUCCCCCAAUGUAUGCCUCAAUGAAAAAUUGAUGCUGCGGUUGGGGAGGAUUGUGUUCUUCUCUUCAUGAAGAAGUUUGUGGAUAUUCAAGUGCAUGAGCUUAGAUUUCAAGUGCAUGAUUCAAGUGCAUGAGCUUAGAUUUCUUGACCGGGCUAAGCUGAUCCCAGCAUUACUAAUAUUUCACAGGAUGACUUUAAAUCAUGUCCUUCCUUUUAUUAUACUCUAACCACAUUCUACUAAGCGGAAAGAAGUUCAAUUACCAAAUUUAUCGGUUAUUAUUUGGUGCUGCUAGAGUUAAAAAUAUUUGUGCAACCUUCAGAAAUUUCUGUGAGGCUCAGAACAUGGAACUUUUUUACUGGUUAGGUUGUCUGCGGAAUGAUGGAUCCAUUGUAUUAUUGCACCAUGCAUGUGGCUACUGAUGGAAGAACAGUUAAACAAGUUCUUGAAAUAUUAACCAAUUGAUGGCACUCAACUUUCCUUCAGUUUUGUAACAUGUGGCAGACACGUGAAUACUUGGACACACUGACACGUGUAUAGUUCAAACGGUAUUAGUGACAAAAUUAAUGGAAAUGACUAAGUUGAAACAUAAUGGAAACGUAAGGGACCUCAUUGAUACUUUUUAAAUGUGAGAAACCAAAUUGAAACCUAAAAUAAACGUAAAUGAUCAAAUGUGUAGUUAAGCCUCAAACUUACUAAUAAUUGAUAAUUUAAUAUUGAAUUCAAUGUUAAAUUAAAGAUUUUACUUUUAAUUUAAAAAUUUAAGUGAUAUAAAUAUUAAACUAAUAAAUCUUUAAUUUAAAUUAAAAAAUCAAUUUUGAAUAUUAGAUAAUUUACACAGAAUUUUUAAAAAAACAAUUUCAAAUAAGACUAGACUCGGUCCACAAAUCUUAGUUCAACUAGCAAAACAAUGCCAAAGUUGUUAGGUUGGAAGUCAUGACCUGGGUUCGAACCUCGGUUCCCUCACUCGUGUGUGAUUUUAUGAUGACUUUAUAAUUUCAUCUAUGUACCACCAAAAAAAAUAUGACUAAACUCAUGUAUUUUAUUUAAUAAAUAACACCAACAACUAUAUUAUCAAUAAAUAUUGUAAAGAAUAUUGUGUCAUUUUUUCAUGUAUUAACAUUACUCUUUUGAGACAUGCAUAUCACGUGAUAAAAAAAUAUUAUAUAACGUUGAAAUACAAACUGAUUAUAAAUUUUAAUCUUAUUAUUUUAUUUUACCGUCAUAAAACUCAUAUUACAGUUAUGUAUGAUUUAUUAAGCAAAUAACUUAAUGUAAUUAAAUAAUGGCAUCAAAUUUUGUAAAGUUAUAUCAUUUUAUAAAAAUUUAAUUUUUUUUCAUUUAUUCUAUUGUAUUUUAUUCUUUUCUUGAACACAUGCAUAAACAUAACAAAACACGAUUGAAAAUGCACUAAUAUACAAAAUUGUUUUCCUCUAACCAUUAACCAUGGUCUUAAAUUCCGGACUAGUGAUCAACUCGGUCGAAAUUCUGGGUCACUAGAUUGUCGGUCGAACAAGUAGGUCACUGGUCAGACCGCAUGACUGUUAAAAAAAAAAUUAAAAAAAUGAUACUUAAAAUUUAAUAUAAAAUUUCUUUCAAUCUUGUUUAAGGACUAACAUAUUAUUACAUCAUACUUUCUAUUAUGGGUGCCCCUAAUAUGGUCCCCAAAAUAAAAGGUCCACCGGUGGUCUUUAGUUUUGAUCUGCAACUACAUGUUACACCUUUUUUGGCUUUUCUUUUUUAUUUAUUUUUAUUUCAUUCAACUUUAUCUUCUUAUUUGUGUAUCUUUUGAUUUUACAUUUAUGCCCUUGACUCAAAUCUACCCAUUAGAUAUAUCCCACGCUACACACCAUGCCAUAUGUCAAUGUUUAUUGAUUAAAACACAAAAAAUCAAAAACGUCAAACGAUCUUCUUCUUCAUAACCAAAAGUAACAGAGCUUCUCUUUGAAGCCUCAGUCGCCAGCCUCUUUCAUACCCACUCAACAAAAGUCACAAACCAUCGUCGCCAUUUGAAUCUAACUACUGCAACCGGUUUGAAUGAGAUGGUGGUAACUGAUAUGGCUAUAGAUCUAACCACCACAAAUACUGAAAAAGCUUCUUCUACAUAAUUUCACCGCGUUUCACCGCCAACGUUGGCAUAAUUUCGUUACUUUCUAACAAGUGAGUAUUUUCAUCUUGUUUUUCAUUCAAACAAUGUUAAUUUUACAAUUGGUUUAUUGGGCGCAUGGCCAAAGGCCCUUGUCUCUUGUAUGAAUGGCGGUGGAACCCAGGUGACUACUCCCCGGUGAUGGUUCUAGUGUUUGCUUCGCUUCGCUUAUGCUAUGGCUUGCUGCAGGAUUGUUUUUGCUGCUGCUUUCUGUUUUGUCCUCUGUGUUGUAGUUUUCUAUUUUUAGAUGGAAUGUUUUUUGGUUGUUGAGUUUGGGCUUUUUUGUGUUUUUUGAUUUGGGUGAUCGGUCCCUCUCUCUGUACUGUUUAGCACCCCUUGUGUUGUGGCUUAUUAUAUAAUUGUACUUUCUUUUUGCCUUAAAAAAAUGUUAAUUUUACAAUAAUUUCGGGAAAUCACGCAAUUUUUCAAAAAUAUAAUUAUCGCGCCUAAUAUUUUGAACCAAAUUCAAAAUAAUUUAAUAAAGCCAAAAUUCAAAUACUGCUCAAAUCAUGAAAAUUCGACCAAGCCAAAACUAGUAGUGAUGAAUAAGGUAAAAAUGGUGGAUUUUAAAGAAACAAGGUAGUAAAACUUAAUCAAAUAAUCAAUUAAUCUAGAAUUAUAUAGGUAAAAUAGUUUUAAUCUCUAGAAAAGUUGUGUCUGGUAGUUUUCCUAAAAAUCACUAAAACAGUUUUAUAAUUUAAAUAAUCAAUAAGUUUCACUCAAAAAAUGAUAGGAAACAAAAUGAUAUGAUUAAUUGAUAAUUAGAACCAAAUUACAUAAACUUUUCUCAAAAGCAAAGAACAAUUCUAUUUCUAUUACAAAACAGAGACCUAAUCUCAGAUAUACACAAUCAUAAUCCAUAAACUAAUCAUUCAUUCAAACAGAUCUAAGCUUUCUUUGGUGAUUUCCCAGCUUUUGGAGACUUUGGCUCUUUACUAGCAGUAGUAGAUCUAUCGGUCUUCUUAGGCAAAAGAAUUGGGUUAAUAUUAGGAAGAACACCACCAUGAGCAAUAGUAACACCAGCAAGCAAUUUUCCAAGCUCUUCAUCAUUCCUAACAGCCAAUAACACAUGUCUAGGGAUUAUCCUAUUCUUCUUGUUAUCACGUGCAGC
rnacentral:lncRNA from 1 species